rnacentral:rRNA from 1 species
UACGUAGGGGGCAAGCGUUGUCCGGAAUCAUUGGGCGUAAAGCGCGCGUAGGCGGCCCGGUAAGUCCGCUGUAAAAGUCCAGGGCUCAACCCUGGAAAGCCGGUGGAUACUGUCGGGCUAGAGUCCGGAAGAGGCGAGUGGAAUUCCUGGUGUAGCGGUGGAAUGCGCAGAUAUCAGGAGGAACACCGAUGGCGAAGGCAGCAUCCUGGACCAUUACUGACGCUGAGUGAGCGAAAGCCAGGGGAGCAAACGGG